GUAUAGGGGACUUUUGGGAUAGCAUUUGAAAUGUAAAUGAAGAAAAUAUCUAAUAAAAAUUGUUUUUGAAUUAAAAAAAAAAAGAAAGAAAGAUGGCAGGUGGCUGUAAGGACCUCAUUAGACCUCCAAAGUCCUUCAUUGGCUUGUAGAUUUGAUCCUUUGACCUCUGAACUUGCUUGGGAAGGUUUGGGAGCUUUUAGGAUGUGGAACCUUGCUGGAAGAAUGACAUUGGAGGGGUGGGUUGGGAUAAGCUUUGAGGUUUUAUAGUCUUAUUCCAGUUCCUGUUCCCCCCACCCCCCCAUUCCUGUGUAUGGUCAGCCAACUUCUCACCCUACUGCCUGGAUGUCGCUAUGGUGAAUUCUAUCUGGAACUGUAAUCAAACAAAUGAAACAAACAAAAACACCCAAACCAUUUUCUUUCUUAUGUUGCUUUGGUCAGAGUAUUUUUCUAUAAUAACUAAUACGGUGAUAAUUUUCAAAAAUAAGGCUCUCUCAUGACUAUGUGAGCACACACAUGGUCAGAACACACCAAGGUAAUGUGAGGGACAGCCAUAGAUUUCACGAGGAUGGAGUGAGGCAGAGCAGCCAUUUGCCACUGCAUCUGUAGGGAGAUGAUGGGAAGUCAGUGCUGUAGCCCACUGAUGGGUCAAAAGCUAGAGUCGAGCUUGAAGAGACCAAGCUGAGACCCCACCAGCAUUUUGUGCAUCAGUGACAUGAGGAUUGAAGACACCAUUCUUUCAUUUGACGCAACACAGAGCAGCACCAGGGCUCUGGCAAGUGACAUCACACAGGGACAGCUAGGCACCUCCGUGUCACCAGGCAACACACAGGAUUGUAUAGUUUCUGAGAUAUUGCUGUCACUUUACCCCUAUGGCUUCAGCCCAGGAAAAGCUAAGCACCUCUUAGCGUCUGAUGUCUCUUCUCUAGCCAUCCACCCGUAGUGGCACACUACACACGCUUCAGUGUUUGUUUUCUGUACAGGUGAAAGAAGAAAUGUUUUACACAGCUUUCCAUAGGUCUUCUGGGAAGUCUCAGAGAUACAGGCAAAGGUUGUCAUUUAGUACAUUGUCCUUAUCAAGAGCUGUUAUGUCUGAAUGCUGACUGAGCUGAGAUCAAGAGCGACCAAGAAGAAUGCUUGACUCUCUGUGUGUGUGCGAUUGUAUAUAUCAGUAUGUGCACCUCUGCACAUGCAGAGGCUGAGGAAGACAUCAGGCAUCCUGUUCUUGUACUCUGCCUGAUUCCCCUGAGACAGGAUCUCUCAAUGUACCCAUAGCUAGGCUGGUAGCCAAUGAAACGCCUUAACCCUCCUGUCUCUGAGUUAGUCUCAUACAGAGUGUUUUCUGUGAGUGCUUCAGGGAUUCAAACUUGUAUCUUUAUGCUUACACGGCAACCACAGUUACUUACCAAGACACCACCUGUUUGCCUACUUAACCGGCUUGGUGACAAAGUAUUUUAAAUAAAAAUGAUUGCAAAGGAUCUCAACUCUUUCCUCAGUAGGGGACUUCUAGGGUUACUUUGUUUGUUUGUUUUAAUUAUAAAGAGCAUAACGAGGUAACAUCAAGUCAGUGAUGAUUGUGACCCACAGACUUUCUGGUGUGUGAAUUAUGAGACAGAGUAACAGCAAUUGACCACAGCUUGUUAGGAACAGAAGAAUCUGCCUUAUCAGAGUGGAAGCCAAAUGCUUUCACUUUUAGCCAGUACAGUAUUUCAUAUUAAGUGUAGUAUUUAUUAAAUAAAGUAUAUUUAUUAAUUAAAUAUGAUUUAAUUUAAUUUUAUAAAUAUUUAAUGUAAUGAGUAAUAUUAAAGUAUUUUAUUAGGUUUUUUUGGAAAACAUUAUUUAAAAACUCCUUAAGCUGCCAGUAACGGUAAACCCCUAGAAUCCCAGCACUUAGGAGGCUGAAGGAAGAUGAUGAUACCAAGUUCAAGAGCAGCCCGGGUGGCAAUAGUGACAGCUGGUCUAAAUAAAUGAAUGAUGGAUAAAUGCUCUUCAGGCCAUAGGCAGCUAAGAGCAUAAGAAAUAAUUCCCUUUAGAGAGAUCUACAGCUUUCAUCUUUCUACGGAUGUCAUGGUACAUCUAAAACU
rnacentral:lncRNA from 1 species